rnacentral:misc_RNA from 1 species
GAUGAAGAACGUAGUGAAAUGCGAUAAUUAAUGUGAAUUGCAGAAUUCAGUGAAUCAUCGAGUCUUUGAACGCACAUUGCGCCCCCUGGUAUUCCGGGGGGCAUGCCUGUCCGAGCGUCAUUGCUGCCCUCAAGCACGGCUUGCGUGUUGGGCUUCCGUCCCUGGCAACGGGGACGGGCCCAAAAGGCAGUGGCGGCACCAUGUCUGGUCCUCGAGCGUAUGGGGCUUUGUCACCCGCUCCCGUAGGUCCAGCUGGCAGCUAGCCUCGCAACCAAUCUUUUUAACCAGGUUGACCUCGGAUCAGGUAGGGAUACCCGCUGAACUUAAGCAUAUCAAUAAGCGGAGGA